UACGAAGGGGGCUAGCGUUGCUCGGAAUGACUGGGCGUAAAGGGCGCGUAGGCGGCUUUGCAAGUUAGAGGUGAAAGCCCGGGGCUCAACUCCGGAAUUGCCUUUAAAACUGCAUCGCUAGAAUUGUGGAGAGGUAAGUGGAAUUCCGAGUGUAGAGGUGAAAUUCGUAGAUAUUCGGAAGAACACCAGUGGCGAAGGCGACUUACUGGACACAUAUUGACGCUGAGGUGCGAAAGCGUGGGGAGCAAACAGG
rnacentral:rRNA from 1 species